rnacentral:rRNA from 1 species
ACUUAAGCAUAUCAAUAAGCGGAGGAAAAGAAACCAACAGGGAUUACCUCAGUAACGGCGAGUGAAGCGGUAACAGCUCAAAUUUGAAAGCUAGCUCUUUGAGGGUUCGCAUUGUAAUUUGUAGAAGAUGCUUCGGGUGUGGCCCCGGUCUAAGUUCCUUGGAACAGGACGUCAUAGAGGGUGAGAAUCCCGUAUGUGACUGGGUGCUUUCGCUCAUGUGAAGCUCUUUCGACGAGUCGAGUUGUUUGGGAAUGCAGCUCUAAAUGGGUGGUACAUUUCAUCUAAAGCUAAAUAUUGGCCAGAGACCGAUAGCGCACAAGUAGAGUGAUCGAAAGAUGAAAAGCACUUUGGAAAGAGAGUUAAACAGUACGUGAAAUUGUUGAAAGGGAAGCGCUUGCAACCAGACUUGCGCGCUGAUGAUCAUCCGGGCUUCUGCCCGGUGCACUCGUCUGCGCUCAGGCCAGCAUCGGUUUCGGUGGUGGGAUAAAGGCCUUGGGAAUGUAGCUCCUCUCGGGGAGUGUUAUAGCCCUCGGUGCAAUGCCGCCUACCGGGACCGAGGACCGCGCUUCGGCUAGGAUGCUGGCGUAAUGGUUGUAAGCGACCCGUCUUGAAACACGGACCAAGGAGUCUAACAUCUAUGCGAGUGUUUGGGUGUCAAACCCAUACGCGUAAUGAAAGUGAACGGAGGUGAGAACCCUUAAGGGUGCAUCAUCGACCGGUCCUGAUGUCUUCGGAUGGAUCUGAGUAAGAGCAUAGCUGUUGGGACCCGAAAGAUGGUGAACUAUGCGUGAAUAGGGUGAAGCCAGAGGAAACUCUGGUGGAGGCUCGCAGCGGUUCUGACGUGCAAAUCGAUCGUCAAAUUUGCGUAUAGGGGCGAAAGACUAAUCGAACCAUCUAGUAGC